UACGAAGGGGGCUAGCGUUGUUCGGAAUCACUGGGCGUAAAGCGGACGUAGGCGGACUCUUAAGUCGGUGGUGAAAUCCUGGAGCUCAACUCCAGAACUGCCUUCGAUACUGAGAGUCUCGAGUCCGGGAGAGGUGAGUGGAACUGCGAGUGUAGAGGUGAAAUUCGUAGAUAUUCGCAAGAACACCAGUGGCGAAGGCGGCUCACUGGCCCGGUACUGACGCUGAGGUGCGAAAGCGUGGGGAGCAAACAGG
rnacentral:rRNA from 1 species